rnacentral:rRNA from 1 species
GACCUGCGGAAGGAUCAUUGU